AGUGAACGCUGGCGGUAGGCCUAACACAUGCAAGUCGAACGGCAGCACAGUAAGAGCUUGCUCUUACGGGUGGCGAGUGGCGGACGGGUGAGGAAUACAUCGGAAUCUACUUUUUCGUGGGGGAUAACGUAGGGAAACUUACGCUAAUACCGCAUACGACCUACGGUGAAAGCAGGGGAUCUUCGGACCUUGCGCGAUUGAAUGAGCCGAUGUCGGAUUAGCUAGUUGGCGGGGUAAAGGCCCACCAAGGCGACGAUCCGUAGCUGGUCUGAGGGGAUGAUCAGCCACACUGGAACUGAGACACGGUCCAGACUCCUACGGGAGGCAGCAGUGGGGAAUAUUGGACAAAGGGCGCAAGCCUGAUCCAGCCAUACCGCGUGGGUGAAGAAGGCCUUCGGGUUGUAAAGCCCUUUUGUUGGGAAAGAAAAGCAGCAGGUUAAUACCCCGCUGUUCUGACGGUACCCAAAGAAUAAGCACCGGCUAACUUCGUG
rnacentral:rRNA from 1 species